rnacentral:tRNA from 1 species
GUAGCCGUGGCGGAGUGGUUAAGGCGACAGACUUGAAAUCUGUUGGGAUAUUCCCGCGCAGGUUCAAAUCCUGCCGACUACG